AAAGGUCAAGGGUCGAAGCUUUGCGGAUAACCGUGUGAACUCUGAUUGAAGUCAAUCAAAGAAUUUCGAUUUGGUAUUGGUAUUCAUUCUCCUAACACAAUGGGGAAUAAGCAUUCAUGUAGCUGCUUACGAAGCUGUCACAAGAACCCAACCAGACGGGCACACAGGACAUCUUCACAAGAAAUAGAGCGAUAUGAACCGUCCCCUGAAGAUAUUGAUGUGGAUGAGAGAUCCAAUCUCCAGCACAUUGGUGACAGAGAGACAGGAAUUGAAGAGGAUGUGUUGGAUCCAUCUGUUCACCCGAGAACUAGCACCAUUUUCCUCACCAAAGCAGAGUCAUUAGAGGUAACACAAGACAGAAGAAACCAUCACAAUGACAGCAGGCUGAGUUCAGUCAGUAAGAAGUUCAGUUCAUGUUCAACCAUCUUUCUAGAUGACAGCACAGUAUCACAACCGAACCUCAAGUCUACGAUACGAUGUGUGGCAUUGGCAAUAUACUACCAUAUAAAGAAUAGAGACAGUAGCAGACAAAUGGAUAUCUUUGAUGAAAAGCAGUACCCACUAUCAAAAACUCCAGUACCAGAGGAUUACGACAAACACAAUCCAGAACACAGGCAUAUCUACAAGUUUAUUCGCAUGUUAUUCAAUGCAGCUCAGCUCACAGCAGAAUGUGCAAUAGUUACAUUAGUGUAUUUAGAGAGAUUAUUAACAUAUGCUGAAAUCAACAUCACGCCUAGCAACUGGAAACGAAUGGUCCUUGGUGCUAUCCUCCUAGCUUCCAAAGUAUGGGAUGACCAAGCAGUCUGGAAUGUAGACUACUGUCAAAUUCUAAGAGAAUUAACAGUAGAAGAUAUGAAUGAAUUGGAGCGACAGUUCCUAGAACUUCUUCAAUUCAACAUCAACGUGUCAGCCAGUGUAUAUGCUAAGUACUACUUUGACCUCCGAGAACUCGCUGACACCCACGAACUUGCCUUCCCACUCGAACCACUCAGUACAGAAAGAGCCCUGAAACUAGAGGUAUUCUCCAAACCAACUGAUGACAAGCCUAGAGACUUCCCACCCCACACCAGUGUAAAGAGAUCACGGAGUGCAGACAGUAUCCAAGUAGUGCCUCGAUUCUCAAACGCCAUCAUCUCAUGAUGAAGGCUUGCAUCUCACGGAGUCUGUCAUCACGACGAUUGGCGUCGUCAUCACAUGAUCAGCUUGGCCAUCAUCUGAUGAGUUCUGUCAUCAUGCUGUGAUCGGCAAUGGCGGCGGUGUCCAGUGAAGAGCGCCCUCAUUUAUCGUUGAGCGCUAUCAUCCUUGUGAAGUGAGUCCUCUUUGAGUGAAGACGACUGUCGUCUUGAGACAGAGGCCUUCAGCUCAUCGUGAUAUUUGAUAUAUGAUGAAUGUCCAUUUUUUUUAAAUCAAUGAACCAAAGCCAAAUCUUUAUUUAUUUAUGAAUACAAAUGGUAGCGCACCUCAGAGAAUAGACUGCAUGAAGCAUAGAUUAUUUUUAAAAAAGGGACCAAAUAUUUCCCUCAUGUUUCAUGUACUUACCAUGAAUCGGGUUUCAUUUAUCAUUUGCAAGGUUCACGUAAAAGUCUGUAAUCUUAAUUUCAGCUAGUGGUUUUGUGUGAUGUUGUGAUGAAGGUCUGAAUUGUCAGACACACUUUGACGCAAUGAACUUCAAGGUUUUUUGCCAGCUGUCGUUACAACGACUGCAUGGUCAUCUUGUAAUUUGAAACUGGUUUGGAAUUGAUAUGUAAAUCUCUAUGAACUGUUUAGACGAAUGGUUUCUCACAGCAAUCAUUCAUGUACAUGCUGCAUUUUGAUAUUCAGAUUUUUAGUUACAUAGUCUACAGAAACUAAUGACAUACAUGUAGUUAUGAAUCAUGAAGAGUAACAUUUUGGUUGUAGGACAUAUGCUCCGCCGACAAUUGCUCUGCAGUCAAUAUUCAUAACUGAGCAAAUUCUAAACAGCAACACUUGACCUUACCCUCUCCUACCCCUACAUCUAUUCUAAAAUUCUUUGCAACUCCAACCGGAACCCUCCAUCUUAGAGGAACUAUAUCUAGAGCAGUUGUCGUUAUAGCAUUUGUUGGAGCCCCACUAUUACGUGUAAUAUCUCCACCUCAUCUUUGUAAAGUGGGAGGGUAUCAUUCUUUGUCAAGGCAAUAUUUCAGGCAGUGUUUAGUUUUCAGCGUUAAAUUUGAAUUCCAUUCAAAAAUAUUUAGGUGUGAAAUUCCUCUACCUCUUUGAAUUCCCACCCUGUAUAUUGCAUGUUUAGACUUAUCCUGUCUCCUGUAACAUCACAUUUGUAUGAAGUACUUCACCAAACACUGUAUUUGUAAGUCCCUUUGAAUUCUUCACUUCUAUUUAUUUAUACAUAGUACAUGUAAGGUAUGUUCUGGACAUUGAAAGACCUCUUUGAAAUGAGGUUUUCACCAGGUUUAUUAAGAUUAAGUGAAAAAAAUCUCCUCUUGUUAUUGUAUCUUCACCACUUACACUCUAUAUUCACUGGACCAUUUUCUCUGUAUUCUUUGUUAACUGAUGAAAUUGAAUCACUGCAGGAGACAAAUGUAUGUGUACACUCGAUGUAUCUAUUGCACCUACUGCAAAUCAUUGGCAGUUGAAACAGAGUCUUGUCAAUUUUCAACAAAACUAAAUCUUCAAUUAAUAUCAGGGCUUAUUAAAAGCCUGCUUGGACUAUAUGAAAUUUAUACAAAACUUGAAUGAAGAAGCGUAGUAUAAAGAACCAUCGUAUAGUGAAUGAAUGUGAAGACUAGAAAACAACAGCAUGUAAAGAAACUGGUUUUGAAGAGGUGAAUUCACAUGGCAGUUGGCCAAUCACCAGUAGCGCUCAUGAUAAGCUCCACCCAGUUAUACCAUUUUCAUAUGAUAAGACAUUCAGACUCGGAGUAUAACGGGACACUGGUUCUUUAUCACGGUUUCUUUCGAGCUGAUGCACGAACAUGUGUUUCACUCUACAGCAUUUUGUUAAGCAAUGUUUCUUUAUACAAUGUACAGACUAGGCAAAAAGUAAUAAAUUAUCGCGUAUGAUUCUUGUAUACAUGUAGCUAUGCAAUGAAUUCUGAUGGUUUCUGUGAUAUCUGUGGCAUUCAUUCAAGACUUCCUAUGCUGCAUAGCUGUCAAAGCUAUUGCCAAAUGCAUGAUAUUAUAUGUACAAUUUUCAUGAAUUGUCCAAAUUUCUACAUUUUAUUUAUUAGUUGUCACAGCAACUGAAGAAUCUGACUGUAUAUCAGCAAGUUUUAGAACUAAGAAAGUUAAACAAAUUUCAAAUAUCUGUGUAUGUCACAAUGCCUGCAAGUCAAUACACUGUACAUACUUUGCAUUAAGGUAUUAAAACACGAUAUCAAUACUCAACAUAAUAAUAUCAUGUGUGUCUUCAACAAUGGAUUAAAGUUGCUUUAUCUUGUAUUUGUUAUAUACACCUAUAGGUGUACAUAAUGAUUUUCCCCAAAGAUUGCUUUGAAAUGUCUUUAAUUUUUUGAAACCUCACAUGUUGGCUUGAAUAUUCCUUUGUCAGAUGCAGUACAAAAGAAAAAUCUUUUCCUUUUGAUCUUGAUCAUUUUGAGGGUUAAAAUGGGCUUAAAAGACACAGGUGAUGAAUAUAUGAUUCACGAAGAUAUAGUAGAGGUUUAAUCACUUGAAUUGGAAUAUAAAGGUCACAAGGUUGAUCCCCAGCAUAGCACCAGUGUCCUUGAGUAAGGCAUUUUAUCUAUGCUACUCCUCUCCACCCAGGUGUUAAAUAGGUAUCUGUUAGGAUACAAACAUUGGUGUGAUUGAAUUUAGCAUGUACUUGCUUGACAGAAGGGUGACUGACUGGAAUGCUCCCCAGGGAGUGGAGAGUGUGCACUGUAACUGUAAAUUGCAGGAUCAUAACAGAAACCCGUGACCGAGGCAAGCGCUUUGGACUGUUACGCUGUAACUCGUAAAGUGCUUUAUAAGUAACAGUCAUUAUUAUUAUUAUCACAAUAUAGAAUUCUGAUUUUCAGCCAGUUUCUCUGAUCAUGCAAUUCCAUUGCGAUUUUGUUUAUAGGAAUAUGACAUUAAAUAAGGAUGUAAAAUUUCAAUCACUGUUUUGAGGUGAAUAAGAUGAAUUGUCACAAGAAGAGGAACUGAGUGGACAUAGUCAUUAUUAUUUAAAGAGGUAAGAGAAUAUAUUUCCAUUUCUUUUAAAGUUGUAUUCAUGCUAGUAUCAUGCUGGAAUUGCUCUGAAAUUUGAUUUUGUUAAUGCAGUACUCAUACGGUUGUUUGUACAACUGUUGCAUAGCAUAGAUGUGCAAGAUACCCUGUAACUUCUCCUUUUUUCAUUACUUUGAAGGCAGAUACAAAAUUGAUUAAAGUUUGCUAGAAAUUUUAAAGCAGAAUUCAUCAUGAGUAUAAUGUAGAAUUUCAAAUGACUUUUAAGUGUAAUUAAAUUUUAAUUUUAAUUGUAACAUGUUUACAGGCCGUUUUUUUAAAACCCGAAUGACAUUGUUUUGACAAAAAUAACUAAAAGGACAGCAUCAUGUUACAUGUGUGUGAAAUAAAAAUUAAGACAAAAAAAGUUCUUGCCACAAUUAUCAAUAGUGUUGUUUGUGUUUUUUAAUUUUAGUUCUGUAAAAAAUUCCAUGUAUUCUCUUAUUUAAAAUUUAUUUAGUGAUUAAUUGCAAAUCGUGUAAAAUAUUCUUUUUCAUGUGUAGUUUACAAUCAUAUAUUUGGUUAUUACUGCUUUCGUAACAGGGUUUAGAAUUUUGAGUUUUUGACUUAUGUCUAGAAGUUGUGGAAGCCUGUAUUUAUUGAAUACGCAGUAGUAACAAGUUUUAAUAAUAAUUUAUAUUACAUUUUGAUAAAUAACCAUUAUUCUGGUUGGGAGAUAACAAUUUUACUCAAACAUAUUUCAUUCCCCCCUCCCCUCCCCUCCCCCAUCAAAAUAGUCAUUUUCAAGAGAAAAACAUAGUAUACACUAUAAUCAGGUGGAAUUGAAUGAAGCUAAAAGUCUCAAGAUCAUUCUUGAUGCAAUACAAAUCGUUGAAAAGUUGGCAAUACCUAGGAUUGUCAAAUUUAAAAUGAUACUUCAGUAUGCAUUAUGAUUUAAUCAGUUGUUUGGGAGAACAAUUUUGAACGUGGAUAUAAGUAAUGUUUGUGUGGACAAGCCUUUGGGGGCAAGCUAGGUUCUGAUAUGACAAUUACAGAUCUGCUCUGCUUACAUGCAAGUAAUAUUUACAUUGAAGUAAAUAUUCAAAUUGAAAUGCAGUGCUAUUGGAAAGGUGUAAGAGUUACCAUAAAUUUCAUUUUGUAUACAAUGAUUAUACAUGUGUACAUGUUUCAUGUAACUUUAGACUGUAAUUUAUGAUGCCAUAUUAUAUAUUGUAUUUCGUUUUGCAGACAUUUCAUUGAUAAAUAUUUCAUUGUGGAUAAGCAAUUGUGAGUCCCCAAUUCGUCCCUAUUUUCACGAAGUGACGAAAAUCGUAAUGCAAAGUGAAUGCAAUUUUUUCACUACCUUCACUUCGUGAAAACAGCGACGAAUUCAUUGAUACGAAUAGGUUCUAUUCAUUUUGCCAAAAUUCGAAAUUGAAGAAGUACCAAUAUUUCUUCAAGAAGAACACUGUAGUUCACUCAGUCUGUAUUAUCCAGGUGCAUACAAACAGUAUUGUAGAGCAUAAAUUUCAUAAAACCCCAAAUUUCAGCAAUGCAGAUACGCCCUUUUCUCUGUUGAAUUGUCUGUCACAGAACUGUGUACAUUAAAAUUGAAUAUAUCCAUCAAAAUAAACAGUACGGAGGUUAGACUCGGACUACACUCUUUGCUGUAUGUAUACUGGACAAGGAUUGUGAAUGUAGCCUAUUUCUACAAGGGUCUGAAUCCUGUAGGGUUGUACGUACAACGCUUGCUCCUGCAACGAUUGCUCAGUGUUAAUUUGUAUACAAACAAAAUUCCUAACUUCACCCCUGGACCCAACACCGUACCUUACCCUUAUCCUAAGCAUGAACCCAACCUAAAACACACUUGCAACCCCAUCCCUAAUUCUUUUAUACAAAAUAAAAUCAUGGAGCAAUUGUUGCUGGAGAAAAUCCCUUGGUCACCAUUGGAAGU